rnacentral:lncRNA from 1 species
CAAUAGUCAGAGUCUAUGUAAUAAUGUGAUCCCCAUUUGUGUACUAGUUGAACUAAGCAUGGCUAAGCAUUUCCUAAGCCAACAUCUAGUCAUUUUGAUACCCAAGUUAUCAAUGGCAUAAGGUAACCAAUAUGUGGCUGAGGAAUAGGACCCAUCCCACAUUACAUUGUAAAAGAAUGCAACAUUUAAUAGAAAUGCGGGAUAUUUGUAAAUUGGGUACAAUAUGAUCAAACGUAUUGCAUGACUUGCCUUGCUCUCGAACUGAUGAGACCUCAGCAACGUCUUCGAGAAACCGCGGAUCGACGAAACGGCCGAAACCUACGCGACAAACAAAGCACACAAGCAAAACAUGCUAUAAGACUACUGAAACAGGAAACAAAACCAUUUUUAGUGGAUUCUUUGCAUUUUUCUUGAUUUACUGAGACUUGAAUGGACUUAAACGGAGCUCGGAUGAAUUACUUAAGAAUUUUAGAAGAUAAACUGUGUUUUUACUAAUAAAGAAAAAGCCUUAAUCAUUUUAUUGCGCAAUAAAGCCCAGGGCUGACGUCAGCGAAAGGGGGGGUGCCGGCACGUGGGCCCCACGGGUCAGCGGCUCCAAAGGGAGGGAGGUGGUGCCUGGCAGGUGGGCCCCACCAGGUGGUGGCUCAAAGGGGAGGCGAGGGAGGCGCCGGCCAGGCUCAGCUCGGCCUCAAGGCCGACCGGCCGACCAAGGCGAGGCGGCGGCGAGGCACGGCCACCGACGGCGGUGACCGGCGACGACGACCCGACGAGAGGACGGGCGGACGAGCAGCACCGACACCUAGAGGAGGGGAGGAGAGGAGUUAGGGAUGGAGAAGGCGACCGCGACGACCAAAGUGGCUGGCCGGAGACGGAGGGGAAUGGAUAGCUCACCGGCUCGCGAGGGAGAUGGGGUUCCGGUGGGGUUCGGGCGACGCGAGGCGGUGGCCGAGAUGGCCCACACGGCGGCGGAGCUAGCGGCGGCGGUGGCUUGGCGCGGCGGCGGCGGCGGAGCUCGGCGAGCGCGGCGCGACGGCAGUAGAAGGCAUGGGAGAGGACGGUGAAUGGGGGAAAUGAGAGAGAGAGCUCGAGUGAGGGUUUUUAUGGGCGAGGGAGGGGCAGAAACGGCCGGGGAUGGCCCCUAUUUGGCCGGCGACGUGGAGAGGUGGAGGAGAGAGAGAGAGGGUGUUGGGGGAUUUCAAAUCCCCCACCACUUGCGGGCGCGCGCGCGCGGGAGAUGCGGGGGAGAGGGCGGCGACGUGGGUGCGAGGUGCGGGCGCGGAGUGGAGGCGCGACGUGGAGCGGAGAAGGCGGCGGCGUGGGCGGUUGGAGCUCCGGCUCCAACGACCGGAGGUAGGGGACGACCGACAGGUGGGCCCCACCUAUCGGCACCCGAAAGAGAAAGGGAGGGAGGGAGGACUUCGGGGAGGGGAAAGGAGGAGCGGGCCGGCCCAGGAAAGGGGUGCCGAGCGCGGGGAGAGAGAUGGGCCGACGGCCCAUCUAGUGAAAAAGGAAGGAAAAGAAAAAGAAAAAGAGGAGAAGGAUUUUCCUGGGAUUAAAUAUUGCACUUUGGUGAUUUUUAAUUGGUUAAAAUUAUUUCUAAGGCUCUGAAAAUUCCACUAAAAAUCUUGUUAAUGCAUUGGAGCAUGGGGAACUCAAGAAAAAUUCCACCACGCUAUUUCCGAUUAUUAAUUGCAUUUAUUAAUUAUGGAGUUAGCUCUAGGUUAAUUAAGAUAAUUUCUUCAGGCAAUUUAUUUAACCAAUUUUUAAAGCAAGAAAAAGGGGGAAACUUCUGGGCGUGACAAACCUACCCCCCUUAAACGGAAUCUCGACCCCGAGAUUCGGAAGAGCUGGCGAAGAGGUGCGGGUGGGCGGCCUUCAACUCAUCUUCUCUUUCCCAAGUGGCUUCUUCCUCUGAGUGGUGGCUCCACUGAACCUUGCAGAAUCUUAUUACUUUGUUUCUGGUCCUUCUCUCGCUGGUUUCGAGGAUACGAGUCGGCUUCUCCACAUAUGUCAGAUCUUCCUGAAUUUCGGUGUGAUCCGGACUUGCCUGUUCCUCAGGAACUCUCAAACAUUUCUUCAACUGAGAGACGUGGAACACGUUGUGGAUGCCAAGCAUGUUGGAGGGAAGCUCAAGCUGGUAAGCAACUUCACCUCUACGUUCCAAGAUCCUGUAUGGUCCCAUAAAGCGUGGUGCCAACUUUCCUUUGGUCUGGAAGCGAUGUACUCCCCUGAGCGGAGUGAUACGGAGAUACACAUAAUCCCCUGUUUCGAAAGCGAGCUCCCUUCGGCGGUUGUCUGCAUAGCUUUUCUGCCGAGAUUGCGCGAUUCUCAAUCUUUCCCUAAUAGCUCUGACGUUCUCUUCUGCCUCAUUUAAAACUUCUGUACCAAACAACUGGCGUUCCCCUGUCUGAUCCCAGAAGAGCGGAGUACGACACCUUCGUCCAUACAGUGCUUCAAACGGUGCCAUCUGUAGACUAGCUUGGUAACUGUUGUCGUAAGAGAACUCAGCAUACGGCAAGCUUUUGUCCCAUGCUCCACCAAAGUCAAGCGCACAGGCUCUCAACAUAUCCUCUAGUAUUUGAUUGACUCGCUCGGUCUGGCCAUCCGUUUGUGGAUGGUAAGCAGUGCCGAAAUUCAACCGGGUUCCCAAUUCUUCUUGUAAUUUCUGCCAGAACUUUGAAGUAAAUUGGUUUCCUCGAUCAGACACGAUCUUCUUAGGUACACCAUGUAAACACAUAAUUCUUGCCAGAUAGAGUUCUGCUAAUUUCUUCCCUGAGUAGGUAGUGUGCACCGGAAUGAAGUGAGCCACUUUGGUGAGUCGGUCAACGACUACCCAAACAGAAUCAUGCCCCGAUGACGUUCUGGGCAAACCGGUGAUGAAAUCCAUUCCGAUUUCUUCCCACUUCCAUUCUGGAAUCUGAAGUGGCUGUAGCAAACCUGCUGGCCUUUGGUGUUCUGCCUUUACUCGUUGACAGACGUCAUAGAGUGCUACGAAUUCAGCUAUUUCCCUUCUCAUGCUGACCCACCAAAACUUCUCUUUGAGGUCUUGGUACAUCUUUGUACUACCGGGAUGAAUGAAAUAUUGAGUUUGAUGAGCCUCGGUUAGUAUCAGGUCUUUUAAUUCCUUGUUUUCGGGUACACACAAUCUUUCUCCCAUCCAGAUUGUUCCUUGUUCAUCCUCAACAGAACCUCGGGCUUUUCCAACUCUCAUGUUCUUUUUGAGCUCUGCUAUUUCAGGAUCACUUGCUUGAGCUAUGCGAACCUGCUCCACCAGUGUGGGCUGUGCCUCUAGGGCAACCACGAAUCCGUGCUCAACUAUACCAAGGUUCAGAUGUUCCAAAUCGCGUUGAACCUCACAACAUAGUUGCUCUACCCAUGCAACAUUGCAGUAGCUCUUCCUGCUCAAGGCAUCUGCAACCACAUUAGCCUUGCCGGGAUGAUAAUGUAUUCCCAUAUCAUAAUCCUUGAUCAGCUCCAACCAUCUUCGCUGUCUGAGAUUCAAAUCAGGUUGAGUGAAGAUGUACUUUAGACUUUUGUGAUCUGUAUAUACCUCACAACGGUUACCGAUGAGAUAGUGCCGCCAAAUCUUUAAAGCAUGAACAACUGCGGCCAAUUCUAGAUCAUGCGUCGGGUAGUUGCUAGUGCCGCCAAAUCUUUAAAGCAUGAACAACUGCGGCCAAUUCCAGAUCAUGCGUCGGGUAGUUGCCUUCAUGAGGACGCAACUGCCGUGAAGCAUAAGAAACCACUUUGCCAUCCUGCAUCAACACACAUCCUAGCCCCUGGCGAGAUGCAUCACAAUAGACCUGGAAAUCUUUCGUCUGAUCAGGCUGGAUUAAGACUGGUGCAGACACCAACCGUCGUUUGAGUUCUUCAAAACUCCUAUUGCAUUCAGCAGACCAGAUAAACUUUUCUUCCUUCUUCAAUAGCUGUGUCAUUGGCUUAGCAAUUUUAGAGAAGUUCUCAAUGAACCGGCGGUAAUAGCCCGCAAGUCCUAAGAAACUCCGAACCUGAGUGACUGUCCUUGGUGGGGUCCAUUUGGUAACUGACUCCACAUUUGCUGGAUCCACAGCUACUCCUUGAGCAUUCACGAUGUGACCGAGAAACUGAACUUCCUUAAGCCAGAAGUCGCACUUGCUGAACUUGGCAUAUAGCUGGUGCUCUUUUAACUUUUCAAGUACCAGCCGAAGAUGCUGCUCAUGUUCUUCCUCGGACUUGGAGUAGAUAAGUAUGUCAUCGAUGAAAACCACGACAAACUUGUCUAGAAAUUCCAUAAACACCUUGUUCAUCAAAUUCAUGAAGAAGGCAGGUGUAUUAGUGAGUCCGAAAGACAUAACUGUGCAUUCGAACAACCCGUACCGAGUGAUGAAUGCUGUCUUUGGAAUAUCCUCUUCGCGGAUCCUCAACUGGUGAUAGCCUGAUCGCAGGUCUAUCUUAGAGAACACAGUAGCUCCUUUCAACUGAUCAAACAGAUCAUCAAUCCUUGGCAAAGGAUACUUGUUCUUGAUGGUGACCUUAUUGAGUGCGCGGUAGUCAACGCACAUCCUCUUGGUUUUGUCUUUCUUCUCCACAAAGAUAACCGGAGCACCCCAAGGCGACGUGCUCGGGCGGAUGUAUCCCUUCUGUAACUGUUCAUCGACUUGCUUCUUGACUUCCGCCAACUCGUUGGCUCCCAUUCUGUAAGGCCUCUUGUGGAUCGGUGCAGUUCCAGGUACCAAGUCAAUCCGGAACUCGAUAUCCCUCUUUGGUGGCAUUGUUGUCAGAUCGUCCGGAAAAACCUCUGGAUACUCUCUGACUAUGGGAAUAUCCUCUAGCUUCUUAGUGGUUUUCUCCACUGCUACCUCUUGUUCUUCACCAGCAGCCUGGUUUAAACUGAUCCCUGGCUUCUGCGGCACUAGAGACUGGAAGGUUACCACCUCUCCUUUUGCAUUGGUCAACUUGAUGGUGCGGCUGGCGCAAUCAAUCACUCCUCUGUGCCUUGUCAACCAAUCCAUUCCAAGUAUGACAUCUAGGUCCUUGGAUUCGAGAAGAAUGAGGUGGGCUGGAAAAAUCAACCCUUGAAUUUCAACUGUCACAGAUGGGCAGUAGUGAGUUGUGGUCAUGCCACCUCCAGGAGUAUGAACUCGCAUUGGUAUCUUAAGCUUCACUAAAGAUAACCCAUGUGCACCAGCAAAACGCUUGGAAAUGAAGGAAUGGGUUGCACCAGAAUCAAACAAUAUUACUGCCGGUGUCGAGUUGACGGGGAAUGUGCCCAAUAUAACCUCUGGUGCUGACUGCACCUCCUCUGCAGAUGCAUGAUUAACACGGGCCUGAACGAACUUGGGUCCAGCACGUCUUGGCUUCGGGCACUUUCCAACCGUGUGUCCGGGUUUGUUACAAUUGAAGCAGAGUUCGGGUUUUUCUCCCAACCUCUUGGGCUGUUCUGGCAAAGGUGGCUGAACUGAUUGGGCUGGAAUCUUUAGUGAACUCGGAGUAGGGUUGAGGCUGUGCUACUCACUGUUGUUGUGACUGCCACUAUGGUGGUUCUUGUUGAAGCUACCCGGGUGGUAGGGACGGUGCUGUCGGAUAAUCAUGGUGGAAGGUCCACCCUGAUAUCCCAUUGUGAAACGAGGCUUCUAACACUUCCCCUGGGGAGUCCUGAACUAGGCUGCCUUCCUCUUACGGUUCAUUUUGUUAGACUGCUCCUCUUGACGAAUAGCCUUGUCCACAAGCUUCUCAAAGUCCUCAUAGUCUCUAGAGAUCAACUGGUUGGUCAAUUCAUCAUCAAGACCAGACAUAAACUUCUCCUGCUUCUCGGCAUCGGUACGCACGUCCUCAGGGGCGUAGCGCGCGAGGCGGUUGAACUCAUGCAAAUACUCUAUAACUGUUCUGGUUCCUUGUUGCAGGGAAUGGAACUCUCUCUUCUUUUGCGCCACAACUCCCUCGGGAACCUGGGCUUUAUUGAAACUAUGACAAAACUCUGUCCAAGUAACCUCUGCCCCAGCUGGACGGGUCACCAUGUAGUUGUCCCACCAAACAGAAGCGGGGCCUUGCAGCUGGUAUGUAGCAAAAGCAACCUUCUCUUGCUCGUUGCAUUGCAAAAGAUUCAGCUUCUUCUCAAUGGCAUGAAGCCAGUCGUGGGCCUCGAUUGGGUUGGUGGUGCUUGAGAAGGUGGGCGGCUUGACACGAAGAAAUUCUAACAGUUUGGACUGAGGAGGUGGAGGACCAAACUGCAGGUUCUGCUGCUGCUGCUGUGCUUGCUGCUGCACCUGCUGCAACACCUGAUGGUACUGUUGCUGCAUCUGUUGCAUCAUCAUUGUCAUUAUCUGAGUCUGAUUGUUCAACACCUGAGCAAUUGUUGGGUUCUCAGGCGAUGGGGACGGACUGUUGUCAGAUGCACUGUUGGCACGUGCUCCAUUGAUCGGCUCUUCGCUGCCACUGGCAUUGUUGGAGUCCCGUUAACCAUUCCUUGUCUCCAUCUGAAGGGGAUAGGGAGAAAUAUGAGAAAAGGAAGAAAAACAGGGGGCUUAGAAACUAAUCUUGCUUAUGAAUUUAAGUGUAAUUAUCUUAAUCUUGAUUAAAACACUGAAAAAGAGGCACGCAACUCCUAAUUGAGGCAGUCAUACCACUGACACAUGAUAUCGACCGCCGACUAACCCACAAGCAACAAACCUAAACUGAGCUAAUUUUAAAACCCCCAAAUAGAUUUUUUUUUCUAAAACCCUACACUGAGCUAAUUUUAAAAAUCCGAUCCGAAUGAACGACCAAGAUUUUUCCCACAAACCAAAGAGGCAAAACCCCAAAUUUUCCUGAAACAAAUCCAAGUGCAAAAGAGCAUAUGCAUAUGAAAAAAAAGGGUUCAGAGGGCUCUUAGGUUUCCAGUUGGCUUGUCCUACGGUCAAGGUCGGCUCUGAUACCAACUUGUCACACCCAGAAAUUCUCGAACCAGAAUUUCUAAGCUGAUUGUGCAUUAAAUCCCUGUCCAGGACCAGCCAGGGUACACAAACGACAUUUGUUGACAUACAGACCCACGUCUUACAAAAAUAUAAAAGAUUACAAAUGCAGCGAGAAAGAUAAAAGCGAGCUAAACCGGGAAGCUUGACUUCAGCAGCGGGCGACCCCACUCCACAGGCAAACCUUGACGGCAGCGACGAAACCAACCUCUCUGAGGCGGCUCCAUCUGAGAAGAACUUCAACUCUGGUGUGGGGGAAAAGAGAGCAAGACUGAGUACUACCCACUGUACUCAGCAAGUCAUACCGGAAAAGGAGGUAUGAUGCAGGAUAUAACCAAAGGAAGCUAGGUGUUCUUUUGCAAAAAGCAGGCAUUUCAAACCAGUAGUUGAAAGCAGUAAAACAGCUGUAGUAAUUAAUCAAUUUUAACCAAUCACUGUCCAACGCUACACCACGUUGCAACAAGCCCAACCAACCACCUGAACUACACCAGUUCAUUACGCUAAACUAGGGGUGAGACUAAUCACGGUAAAUCUGGUUGAUCACCCAUAACCGCGGGCACGGCUAUUCGAAUAGUUUUACUCUCGCCAGAGGUGUACAACUGUACCCACAAGACACGAUUCCACACAUGUCGCCAUGCCCCGAAGUAUCACCAUGAUACUGCAAAGGGGGAAAUCGUGACAAGAUCCUCCACCUAACCCUCCCCUAACCAUCCACACCACGCUAAGGUUUCACCCCCACCCCUCAAAAGGCAGUGGGCGGUCCCCUCUUGCGCCGCGGUGAAUCCGGCAGCUGGACAACCGAACACCUCGGCCGACCCAACUCCAUCACGCCCACCCUCACCACCGGUGCCUAGGAAAGGGUCGAGCUAUACUUCAGAUCAAGCAGUUACCCACUCCCGCUUGUGGUCAGCACGGUAAGUCUCCCAGGGUUUCCCGUGAACCGGUCCUUAACUGCCAUGGGUGCGACCAGCAAAACCAUGCACUCACAGCCCGCCAUUCAGAAUAUUUUAAUUAACUGACACCCUUGCGGUGGCGCCAAUCUAAAGCUAUGCCAAUAGUCAGAGUCUAUGUAAUAAUGUGAUCCCCAUUUGUGUACUAGUUGAACUAAGCAUGGCUAAGCAUUUCCUAAGCCAACAUCUAGUCAUUUUGAUACCCAAGUUAUCAAUGGCAUAAGGUAACCAAUAUGUGGCUGAGGAAUAGGACCCAUCCCACAUUACAUUGUAAAAGAAUGCAACAUUUAAUAGAAAUGCGGGAUAUUUGUAAAUUGGGUACAAUAUGAUCAAACGUAUUGCAUGACUUGCCUUGCUCUCG